AAAGAAUUGAAAACUUCCGGCGGCAAAUUCGGACAAAUACAAACCAAGAAGAAACAGAGAAAGCAAGUUAGCGAGGCAGUUGCAAGAAUGGACGACACAAGAAAUGCACUUUAACUUACAGUUGUCCCAUUCAGUAGCGUGAUAUCCAGAAAAGUUAAAAGUGAUGUGUAAAUGGGCAAGGAGCAGAAUUCAGUGUAUCAUGGCCUGUUAUGCAAUAUCCACCAAACUCGAUUGACCGUUAACUUAUUCUGAUGCUAUCAGUGGCUGAUUUGUAAUGGGCCAUUAAAAGUAUUCGAUAGUGAGGCGGUUCGUCUGCUACAAGCAAGCUGCUAGGAAUGAAAACACCAGCACGUGCAGUCCCAUUCCAACAUGGUGCACAGAGAAAGGGCCACAAACAGCGAACACUGCGCAGUUCCAAGUACCAAGUCAAGAUACCCCUUGGUAUAUGUCAUCAUAACACUGAAAAGCAGACCAAUGAUGUGAUUGAAAUACUACAGCAUUCCCAUGACUUCAUUCCAAAUGACAGAACAAAAGAGCCUAAGAGGAGCUAGAAACAGAUACAAUUUGGGAAGAGCAGUAGAUAAUGAAAAUCAUACUAGCUGGUGGCGAUCAACUUGCAUGUGAAAAAAAGGGGGACACAAAUGGCCCAACAGGUUAGGGACACACCAAAAGAGAAGAUAGAGAGCGUUCAGCGCUGUAUUGAGGAUUUUUCAUGAGAAAAUGUAUUUCAGUCAGGUGAUCAUGGAUCGAUUUUUCAUAGAAGAGAGUGUGAGGAAGACAGAACCCUGAGCAUGUUAAAAUGUCUGAUAGACAGGAGAAAUCUCCACCAAUGUAGCUGCCAACUUCCAUGAUGUUGCUGAGUUUGUCGAUUUAGUACUUGAUUGUCACCUGAGUGCAUCUAUGAUUUUUUUUUUCAAUAAGAGUACCAGGGAUGAAUGUCAUCGCAUACCAAAAGUACUUCACUAGUUCAACAGCUCUGAAAAAACAGUGUGAAUGAAUGGAUAACUUGUCUACAACAUGGCUCACCAAACAAAAUUAGGUUGGAGUCAUUCAUUUUGCUAGAUAAAUGUGUCAGUGCAUAUGGUCAUACAUCCUGUAGUAAAGUAAAAAAAAACACGUCAUUACAAUGAAAAUACAUGAAAAAAAAUGUUAAUGUAUUAGAUAAUCAUAUAAUCACUGUAUUAUUGAAUCUGAUGAUAAAUGUAUUGAUAGUUAUAGUAAGAAUAUGUUGUCAAGGGAUGCUCCAAAUACUGGUAAUGGUCAUGCUGAGUUAAGAAUUAUCGAAACUAGAGGUGUUGGUUUGUUUUGUGGGAAUGUCCAUAACAAUAUUACUUCAAAGAUGACGGGUUUGAACGAGUGGCGAAAAAUGAUCGGGGUUUGAACUUACCAUAAUGAUUUUAAUACUACAUUUGAUGUGCUCUAUACACCACUUGAAGGCUCUACAUAUAGCAACCAAGACAUUUUCAAUACACUUGUGAGCAACAUUGCUUGUUUAAAAUGUGGCCAUAAGGAUUGUAUCUUUACUAUUUAUGAUGAUUUCAAUGAAAAAUGUUACACGAUUUCUGAUAUUGUAACAAUUGAUUCUUUCUAAGCUAAUUUCAAUAACCGUAUUAUAACAUUUAACAAACAUUUCAAUGGGUAUUCUUAUGUGAAUAAAUUUUAAGAUGAACUGGGCUUGUAACUAUAUUUCAUUACUAAGCACUUAAAAUCAAUGGUUAAGAAAAGAAUGCAUGAUUAAUACAAAAAAAAAUGAAUCUUUUAGUAAUACAUCCUAAAUAAUAAUUUAUAGAAUGUCAGGGAUGUGAUUUGUCCACAGAUUCGCGGAAUUCCGCGGAUCUAAUGGGUAAUGGCCCCAGGGAGCCCCACCCCCCCGCCAAAAAAAAAAGGUUUUUUUUUUUUUUUAGCUGAUUAAAAAAGGUACUAGUGUGCUUUUGGUUGUUAGAGUUGAUAUCCCAGGUUACUUCAAAUUUAAAGUCAGAAGAACCCUCAAAAGAGCUUCUAAAAAGCCAGUUUUUCUUCUACGUCAGUGUGCAUUUGACCCCAAAAGUGCCCCAAGAACCAAUGGCCGAAUUGGUUUCAGCCCUCCAGCUGCCGGGUCAAUCACAUCCCUGAAUGUACAAAACUAAACUUUUUUAAAAAAUAUCCAGGGUCUGUGUUCAUGAAGUAUCUUAAGUCAUUUUCUAACUUUAGUGCUUUUCCUACUUUGAGUUUCUCACUGGUCUUAUGAUAUAAUUUCUUGAUAAUGUCCAUAAUACUAAUAUUUCAUAAGACUUUAAAUAAAAUUCAAACAUUAAUGCAAAAAAAUUAUUAAAAUUAAAAUCUAAUAUCAUUAUAAAAAGUUAUGGAAAUGAAAUUACUUAAGAUUCAUAAUGAACACAGACCGAGAUCUAUUACCUUGAAACGUAGGUCUUGUAAUGUGUAGAUGUAGAAAUUUAGAUCAUAAAUUACCUAUUGAAACAUGGCGCUUUUAUAGUAUUGACAUAUUUCAAAGAAAAUGCCUUCUUUGUAAUACCAGUUGUUGCUGGAUAUCAUUUUUUUAAUGUCACUUUUUUCAAGAUUUAGAAUUAAAAAUAUAUAACAUUAUUUGAUUACCAAAGCUCUUACAUAACGGAACAACAAAUGAAUUGUAAUAAUAAAACAAAACCAUUAAAAAUUGAAGUCAUUUUAACGAAUUUAUUCUCUUUGGAUCUUCAACCAAUGUUUUAUGUAUAGAUGUAUAGCCACUGUUUGAUAACGUUCAUUUACUAUAUAGUAUAAUCUGUUUGUGAACUUCUGCUUGUUAUGUAUAUUACAUGUCACAUACUUUUAUAGAGCCUUAUAAUUUAAAUUAAUUCUUUGAACUAAAUUAAUUGUUUCGAUGUAUGACCCUAUGAAAGUUAUAGCAUACUUUAAAAUGUUUUAAUGAUAUCAUUGUAACGACACAAAAUUUAGUUAUUAAAUAAGAAGUAUUACCCAUUCAUGUAAUUAAUUCAUGUAUUAUCCAUAUAAUUUACUUAGUACAGCUAAAUGUCAAUGGUGCACUUUGUCACGCAAUAUGUUUUUUUAUAUUACAUGUAUUCUGUGUAAUAAACUUAGAACAUAAUUAAAUUGUUAAUGAAUUGUAUCUUAGAACAUAAUUAAAUUGUUAAUGAAUUGUAUUUUAAGAUUGAACUAUGUCUUAAGUUAGGCAACCAAGUUUUAUGUGCAUUUUAGUGGGGAAAGUGUUAUAUUAAUAUCAUUAUUACAUUAGCUCAUACAUGCUUUAAUUUAUCGCAUUAUGUAGUCUGUUUUUAUUGACAUAAACAAUUAGUUACCUUUCUAUUUUAAAAAAAAAAUCAACCUGUUUUUAAGAAGCGUUCGCUAUUGAAUCUAUUGCAUGCUUGCAGUUUACAUGCAGUCAAGAGUCAAGUAUUCUUGUUUUUUCACGUUUAUACUUGAGGACAAUGCAUUGUUUACUUACUAAAUUACAUUGUAUGACAGAAAAAGGACAAUAUAAUGAUUGUUCAAAAUGCUAUA